AGAGCGAACGCUGGCGGCAGGCUUAACACAUGCAAGUCGAGCGGGCGUAGCAAUACGUCAGCGGCAGACGGGUAAGUAACGCGUGGGAACAUACCUUUUGGUUCGGAACAACACAGGGAAACUUGUGCUAAUACCGGAUAAGCCCUUACGGGGAAAGAUUUAUCGCCGAAAGAUUGGCCCGCGUCUGAUUAGCUAGUUGGUGAGGUAACGGCUCACCAAGGCGACGAUCAGUAGCUGGUCUGAGAGGAUGAUCAGCCACAUUGGGACUGAGACACGGCCCAAACUCCUACGGGAGGCAGCAGUGGGAAUAUUGGACAAUGGGCGCAAGCCUGAUCCAGCCAUGCCGCGUGAGUGAUGAAGGCCCUAGGGUUGUAAAGCUCUUUUGUGCGGGAAGAUAAUGACGGUACCGCAAGAAUAAGCCCCGGCUAACUUCGCGCCAGCAGCCGC
rnacentral:rRNA from 1 species